UGGGGAAUAUUGGACAAUGGGCGAAAGCCUGAUCCAGCCAUGCCGCGUGUGUGAAGAAGGUCUUCGGAUUGUAAAGCACUUUAAGUUGGGAGGAAGGGCAUUAACCUAAUACGUUAGUGUUUUGACGUUACCGACAGAAUAAGCACCGGCUAACUCUGUGCCAGCAGCCGCGGUAAUACAGAGGGUGCAAGCGUUAAUCGGAAUUACUGGGCGUAAAGCGCGCGUAGGUGGGUUGUUAAGUUGGAUGUGAAAUCCCCGGGCUCAACCUGGGAACUGCAUUCAAAACUGACUGACUAGAGUAUGGUAGAGGGUGGUGGAAUUUCCUGUGUAGCGGUGAAAUGCGUAGAUAUAGGAAGGAACACCAGUGGCGAAGGCGACCACCUGGACUAAUACUGACACUGAGGUGCGAAAGCGUGGGGAGCAAACA
rnacentral:rRNA from 1 species